UUAAGCGACUAAGCGUACACGGUGGAUGCCCUGGCAGUCAGAGGCGAUGAAGGACGUGCUAAUCUGCGAAAAGCGUCGGUAAGGUGAUAUGAACCGUUACAGCCGGCGAUGUCCGAAUGGGGAAACCCAGUGCAAUUCGUUGCACUAUCGUUAACUGAAUACAUAGGUUAACGAGGCGAACCGGGGGAACUGAAACAUCUAAGUACCCCGAGGAAAAGAAAUCAACCGAGAUUCCCCCAGUAGCGGCGAGCGAACGGGGAGCAGCCCAGAGUCUGAAUCAGCUUGUGUGUUAGUGGAACGGUCUGGAAAGUCCGACGGUACAGGGUGAUAGUCCCGUACACCAAAAUGCACAGGCUGUGAACUCGAAGAGUAGGGCGGGACACGUGGUAUCCUGUCUGAAUAUGGGGGGACCAUCCUCCAAGGCUAAAUACUCCUGACUGACCGAUAGUGAACCAGUACCGUGAGGGAAAGGCGAAAAGAACCCCGGCGAGGGGAGUGAAAAAGAACCUGAAACCGUGUACGUACAAGCAGUGGGAGCACCUUCGGGUGUGACUGCGUACCUUUUGUAUAAUGGGUCAGCGACUUAUAUUCUGUAGCAAGGUUAACCGUAUAGGGGAGCCGCAGGGAAACCGAGUCUUAACUGGGCGUUAAGUUGCAGGGUAUAGACCCGAAACCCGGUGAUCUAGCCAUGGGCAGGUUGAAGGUUGGGUAACACUAACUGGAGGACCGAACCGACUAAUGUUGAAAAAUUAGCGGAUGACUUGUGGCUGGGGGUGAAAGGCCAAUCAAACCGGGAGAUAGCUGGUUCUCCCCGAAAGCUAUUUAGGUAGCGCCUCGUGAAUUCAUCUUCGGGGGUAGAGCACUGUUUCGGCUAGGGGGUCAUCCCGACUUACCAACCCGAUGCAAACUACGAAUACCGAAGAAUGUUAUCACGGGAGACACACGGCGGGUGCUAACGUCCGUCGUGAAGAGGGAAACAACCCAGACCGCCAGCUAAGGUCCCAAAGUCAUGGUUAAGUGGGAAACGAUGUGGGAAGGCACAGACAGCCAGGAUGUUGGCUUAGAAGCAGCCAUCAUUUAAAGAAAGCGUAAUAGCUCACUGGUCGAGUCGGCCUGCGCGGAAGAUGUAACGGGGCUAAACCAUGCACCGAAGCUGCGGCAGCGACACUAUGUGUUGUUGGGUAGGGGAGCGUUCUGUAAGCCUGCGAAGGUGUGCUGUGAGGCAUGCUGGAGGUAUCAGAAGUGCGAAUGCUGACAUAAGUAACGAUAAAGCGGGUGAAAAGCCCGCUCGCCGGAAGACCAAGGGUUCCUGUCCAACGUUAAUCGGGGCAGGGUGAGUCGACCCCUAAGGCGAGGCCGAAAGGCGUAGUCGAUGGGAAACAGGUUAAUAUUCCUGUACUUGGUGUUACUGCGAAGGGGGGACGGAGAAGGCUAUGUUAGCCGGGCGACGGUUGUCCCGGUUUAAGCAUGUAGGCUGGUUAUCCAGGCAAAUCCGGAUAAUCAAGGCUGAGGUGUGAUGACGAGGCACUACGGUGCUGAAGUAACAAAUGCCCUGCUUCCAGGAAAAGCCUCUAAGCAUCAGGUAACAUCAAAUCGUACCCCAAACCGACACAGGUGGUCAGGUAGAGAAUACCAAGGCGCUUGAGAGAACUCGGGUGAAGGAACUAGGCAAAAUGGUGCCGUAACUUCGGGAGAAGGCACGCUGGUGUGUAGGUGAAGUCCCUGCGGAUGGAGCUGAGACCAGUCGAAGAUACCAGCUGGCUGCAACUGUUUAUUAAAAACACAGCACUGUGCAAACACGAAAGUGGACGUAUACGGUGUGACGCCUGCCCGGUGCCGGAAGGUUAAUUGAUGGGGUUAUCCGUAAGGAGAAGCUCUUGAUCGAAGCCCCGGUAAACGGCGGCCGUAACUAUAACGGUCCUAAGGUAGCGAAAUUCCUUGUCGGGUAAGUUCCGACCUGCACGAAUGGCGUAAUGAUGGCCAGGCUGUCUCCACCCGAGACUCAGUGAAAUUGAACUCGCUGUGAAGAUGCAGUGUACCCGCGGCAAGACGGAAAGACCCCGUGAACCUUUACUAUAGCUUGACACUGAACAUUGAGCCUUGAUGUGUAGGAUAGGUGGGAGGCUUUGAAGCGUGGACGCCAGUCUGCGUGGAGCCAACCUUGAAAUACCACCCUUUAAUGUUUGAUGUUCUAACGUUGGCCCCUGACCGGGGUUGCGGACAGUGUCUGGUGGGUAGUUUGACUGGGGCGGUCUCCUCCCAAAGCGUAACGGAGGAGCACGAAGGUUAGCUAAUCCUGGUCGGACAUCAGGAGGUUAGUGCAAUGGCAUAAGCUAGCUUGACUGCGAGCGUGACGGCGCGAGCAGGUGCGAAAGCAGGUCAUAGUGAUCCGGUGGUUCUGAAUGGAAGGGCCAUCGCUCAACGGAUAAAAGGUACUCCGGGGAUAACAGGCUGAUACCGCCCAAGAGUUCAUAUCGACGGCGGUGUUUGGCACCUCGAUGUCGGCUCAUCACAUCCUGGGGCUGAAGUAGGUCCCAAGGGUAUGGCUGUUCGCCAUUUAAAGUGGUACGCGAGCUGGGUUUAGAACGUCGUGAGACAGUUCGGUCCCUAUCUGCCGUGGGCGCUGGAGAAUUGAGGGGGGCUGCUCCUAGUACGAGAGGACCGGAGUGGACGCAUCACUGGUGUUCGGGUUGUCAUGCCAAUGGCACUGCCCGGUAGCUAAAUGCGGAAGAGAUAAGUGCUGAAAGCAUCUAAGCACGAAACUUGCCCCGAGAUGAGUUCUCCCUGAGACUUUAAGUCUCCUGAAGGAACGUUAAAGACGAUGACGUUGAUAGGCCGGGUGUGUAAGCGCAGCGAUGCGUUGAGCUAACCGGUACUAAUGAACCGUGAGGCUUAACCUU
rnacentral:rRNA from 1 species